rnacentral:snRNA from 1 species
GUGCUCGCUUCGGCAGCACAUAUACUAAAAUUGGAACGAUACAGAGAAGAUUAGCAUGGCCCCUAAAAAAAUAAAAAAAAUAAAAAAAGAAAGGUGGUUUU